rnacentral:rRNA from 1 species
CACGCCGUAAACGAUGGAUACUAGGUGUAGGGGGUAUCGACCCCCCCUGUGCCGGAGUUAACGCAAUAAGUAUCCCGCCUGGGGAGUACGACCGCAAGGUUGAAACUCAAAGGAAUUGACGGGGGCCCGCACAAGCAGCGGAGCAUGUGGUUUAAUUCGAAGCAACGCGAAGAACCUUACCAGGGCUUGACAUCCCUCUGCCGUAUACAGAGAUGUAUAUUUUCUUCGGAACAGAGGAGACAGGUGG